rnacentral:rRNA from 1 species
AUUGAACGCUGGCGGCAUGCCUUACACAUGCAAGUCGAACGGCAGCACGGGAGCAAUCCUGGUGGCGAGUGGCGAACGGGUGAGUAAUAUAUCGGAACGUGCCCAGUCGUGGGGAUAACGUAGCGAAAGCUACGCUAAUACCGCAUACGAUCUAUGGAUGAAAGCGGGGGAUCGCAAGACCUCGCGCGAUUGGAGCGGCCGAUAUCAGAUUAGGUAGUUGGUGAGGUAAAGGCUCACCAAGCCGACGAUCUGUAGCUGGUCUGAGAGGACGACCAGCCACACUGGGACUGAGACACGGCCCAGACUCCUACGGGAGGCAGCAGUGGGGAAUUUUGGACAAUGGGCGCAAGCCUGAUCCAGCAAUGCCGCGUGCAGGAUGAAGGCCUUCGGG